rnacentral:lncRNA from 1 species
AAAAAGUCAAGAACGGUGCUUAUAAAUAAUGUCAUGUUUUGUGCUCACAGGACCAUUGCCCACCUUGGGCUCUGCAUAAUUCCCGCACAUAUAACUAACUAAUAAACAACCAAACUACCAGUCUUCCAAUCACCUUAUCUUUCCUCUACCUGUCAAUCCUCUCAUUUGAAAUCAUUUGUCUCUUUCCUUCCUAUACACGACAAGAAGUCCUCAAGCAGUCAUCAAGAUUGUUACCAACAAGGUAUUAACUCUUCGCUCA